CUACGGGGUGCUGCAGUGGGGAAUAUUGGACAAUGGGCGAAAGCCUGAUCCAGCCAUCCUGCGUGGAGGAUGAAGCUUUAAGGAGUGUAAACUUCUUUUCUGGAAGAAGACGAAUGACGGUAUUUCAGGAAUAAGGGGCGGCUAACUACGUGCCAGCAGCCGCGGUAAUACGUAGGCCCCGAGCGUUACCCGGAGUUACUGGGCGUAAAGCAUCUGUAGCUGGACUAAUAAGUCUAUCUUCAAAAACCGAAGCUUAACUUCGGAGCGGGGGUAGAUACUGUUAGUCUAGAGAUAUUGAGAGGUUAGUGGAAUUUCCGGUGGAGCGGUGGAGUGCGUUGAUAUCGGAAGGAACGCCAAAAGUGAAGACAGCUAACUAUCAAUUUUCUGACAGUCAGAGACGAAAGCUUGGGUAGCGAACAGGAUUAGAUACCCCGGUAGUC
rnacentral:rRNA from 1 species